rnacentral:rRNA from 1 species
UACGUAGGGUGCGAGCGUUAAUCGGAAUUACUGGGCGUAAAGUGUGCGCAGGCGGCAAGGCAAGUCGAGUGUGAAAGCCCCGGGCUUAACUUGGGAAUUGCGCUCGAAACUACUUUGCUGGAGUGUGGCAGAGGAAGGUGGAAUUCCACGUGUAGCGGUGAAAUGCGUAGAGAUGUGGAGGAACACCAAUGGCGAAGGCAGCCUUCUGGGCCAACACUGACGCUCAUGCACGAAAGCGUGGGGAGCAAACGGG